rnacentral:rRNA from 1 species
UUAGAUACCCUGGUAGUCCACGCUGUAAACGAUGGAUACUAGGUGUGGGGGGACUGACCCCCUCCGUGCCGCAGUUAACACAAUAAGUAUCCCACCUGGGGAGUACGAUCGCAGGUUAAACUCAAGAAUUGACGGGGCCCGCACAAGCGGGGAUAUGUGGUUAAUUCAAGCACGCGAAGACCUUACCAGGCUUGACUCCCGAGACCGACANAGAUAGUUUUUCUCUCGGAGACUCUGAACAGGUGUGCAUAGUUGUCGUCAGCUCGUGUCGUGAGAUGUUUGGGUAAAUUCCCNGAACUAACCGCCACCCCUUAUUGUUAGUUUGCUCCCCAAAAAACCCUCUUAACCAAGAACUGCCCGUUGACAAAAACCGGAAGAAAGGGGGGGAACCACUUUCAAAAUCAUAAUUGCCCCUUUAUGUUCCUGGGGCCCCCAACCGUCCUACAAAGGGGGGGCCAACCAAGGGAACCCUUUCCCCGGAGGGGGGGGCCAAAUUCCUUAAAACCCUUCCCGUUUCUGAUUACCAAAGCUUAAACCCCCCCUCGGGGAAAAUUGGAAAACCCCUCCUAAUCCCC